GAAUUGUUUGGCACAUGUGUAAAGCUCCUUUGCUGUAUUUCUUUUGUUUGAUGGUUGUGGUGGGAGUAAAAGUGGACUAGCCGCCUGACUGUGAGGACAUGAAGCUGCUCACUGGAAACUCUCCCUGCUGCUGCAGAAACAUGUGAGGAGUCCUCAGUGUUUAGAUCAGAGGGAGUCUGGACUCUUGUGUUGGUGGAGCAGGGCUGAAGAACCA